rnacentral:rRNA from 1 species
AUUGAACGCUGGCGGCAUGCCUUACACAUGCAAGUCGAACGGCAGCACGGGUGCUUGCACCCGGUGGCGAGUGGCGAACGGGUGAGUAAUACAUCGGAACAUGUCCUGUAGUGGGGGAUAGCCCGGCGAAAGCCGGAUUAAUACCGCAUACGAUCUACGGAUGAAAGCGGGGGACCUUCGGGCCUCGCGCUAUAGGGUUGGCCGAUGGCUGAUUAGCUAGUUGGUGGGGUAAAGGCCUACCAAGGCGACGAUCAGUAGCUGGUCUGAGAGGACGACCAGCCACACUGGGACUGAGACACGGCCCAGACUCCUACGGGAGGCAGCAGUGGGGAAUUUUGGACAAUGGGCGAAAGCCUGAUCCAGCAAUGCCGCGUGUGUGAAGAAGGCCUUCGGGUUGUAAAGCACUUUUGUCCGGAAAGAAAUCCUUGGCCCUAAUACGGUCGGGGGAUGACGGUACCGGAAGAAUAAGCACCGGCUAACUACGUG